rnacentral:lncRNA from 1 species
UCUAACAUGAGCAAAGUCGAAUGUCUGAUUAUUUAGAGAUCGGAUGGAGGGAGAGGCCCUUGCAACGGCCCUUACGUAUCCCCACAGCCCUGUUAGGAACAGGAGGAGAACCUCAUCCUAACAUAAGCUGAAAUCGACUGCGUCGGAAACAGGAGGAGAACCUCAUCUUGACAUAAAUGAAGACCCGAUCGUUCAAGAUCGAAUAAGGAGGAAAGCCUCCUCAACGACUCCUCUACACUCCUAUAACCCCG